rnacentral:rRNA from 1 species
GCGUGGGUAACCUGGCCCAUACAGGGGGAUAACACUUAGAAAUAGGUGCUAAUACCGCAUAACAACAGAAAGCGCAUGCUUUUUGUUUGAAAACCAAGGUGGUAUGGGAUGGACCCGCGUCUGAUUAGCUGGUUGGCGGGGUAAAGGCCCACCAAGGCGACGAUCAGUAGCCGGCCUGAGAGGGUGGACGGCCACAUUGGGACUGAGACACGGCCCAAACUCCUACGGGAGGCAGCAGUGGGGAAUAUUGCACAAUGGGGGAAACCCUGAUGCAGCGACGCCGCGUGAGUGAAGAAGUAAUUCGUUAUGUAAAGCUCUAUCAGCAGGGAAGAAAAUGACGGUACCUGAGUAAGAAGCCCCGGCUAACUACGUGCCAGCAGCCGCGGUAAUACGUAGGGGGCAAGCGUUAUCCGGAUUUACUGGGUGUAAAGGGAGCGUAGACGGCAGUGCAAGUCUGGAGUGAAAGGCGGGGGCUCAACCCCCGGACUGCUCUGGAAACUGUACGGCUGGAGUGCAGGAGAGGUAAGUGGAAUUCCUAGUGUAGCGGUGAAAUGCGUAGAUAUUAGGAGGAACACCAGUGGCGAAGGCGGCUUACUGGACUGUAACUGACGUUGAGGCUCGAAAGCGUGGGGAGCAAACAGGAUUAGAUACCCUGGUAGNCCACGCCGUAAACGAUGAUCACUAGGUGU